GAGUUUUCAAUGACCAGAGACGCUGCAGAGGGGUCUCUGGCAGAUUCCUGCUGGGUUCCAUGUGAAGCAGCAUCGUACUGUUUUUUUCUCCUGAGCGCUGCAUGUAACAGCUGUUCUGUAGAAGGACACAGAGGCCAUCCAGUGAAAGAGGUUUAAAUGAUGCCAGUGGAAUCCAUCCAUCUUCCCUGCAAGCCCAGCAUUCCCAGGAAUGUACCUUCUAACACACUUCUACCUGCCUGGUAACAGCAUGGUGGGAAAAUCCGUCUUCCUUUUCCUUCCUUCCUUCCUUCCUUCCUUCCUUCC
rnacentral:lncRNA from 1 species